UACGAAGGGGGCUAGCGUUGUUCGGAAUUACUGGGCGUAAAGCGCACGUAGGCGGAUAUUUAAGUCAGGGGUGAAAUCCCAGAGCUCAACUCUGGAACUGCCUUUGAUACUGGGGUAUCUUGAGUAUGGAAGAGGUGAGUGGAAUUCCGAGUGUAGAGGUGAAAUUCGUAGAUAUUCGGAAGAACACCAGUGGCGAAGGCGGCUGACUGGACAUGUAUUGACGCUGGAGGUGCGAAAGGCGUGGGGAGCAAACAGG
rnacentral:rRNA from 1 species